UACGGAGGAGGCAAGCGUUAUCCGGAAUUAUUGGGCGUAAAGCGCGCGCAGGUGGUUUCUUAAGUCUGAUGUGAAAGCCCACGGCUCAACCGUGGAGGGUCAUUGGAAACUGGGAGACUUGAGUGCAGAAGAGGAAAGUGGAAUUCCAUGUGUAGCGGUGAAAUGCGUAGAGAUAUGGAGGAAAACCAGUGGCGAAGGCGACUUUCUGGUCUGGAACUGACACUGAGGCGCGAAAGCGUGGGGAGCAAACAGG
rnacentral:rRNA from 1 species